UACGGAGGGAGCGAGCGUUGUCCGAAGUUACUGGGCGUAAAGCGCGCGUAGGCGGGGGAUUAAGUGAGAAGUGAAAGGCUGAGGCUCAACCUCAUGCAGUGCUUCUCAUACUGGUCCUCUUGAGGGUGGUAGAGAGAAGUGGAAUGGCUGGUGUAGCGGUGAAAUGCGUAGAUAUCGGGAGGAACACCUGUGGCGAAAGCGGCUCUCUGGACCACAACUGACGCUGAGGCGCGAAAGCUAGGGGAGCAAACAGG
rnacentral:rRNA from 1 species